AUUUUCCUUGCAUAAAUUAUUAUUUCCUUGAGAAAAAGACUGUCUGUGACAGAGACAUUGAUGGAGGGCGACGUCGAGAUGGCGGCGGCGGGGGCGGAGGCGGAGGGCGGAGCUGCCGUUGAACUGGAUGAUAUGAAGAAGAGGCUGAAGGAGAUGGAGGACGAAGCUGCCGCUCUCCGUGAAAUGCAGGCGAAAGUGGAACAGGAGAUGGGCGCCGUUCAAGCAGAUCCUGCUGCUGCAGCUAAUCGGGCAAAUAGAGAAGAAGUGGAUGCUAGAUCGGUCUUUGUUGGCAAUGUGGAUUAUGCAUGUACACCAGAAGAAGUGCAGCAGCAUUUCCAGUCAUGUGGAACCGUGAACAGAGUAACUAUCCGGACCAACAAGUAUGGACAACCAAAAGGAUAUGCAUAUGUCGAGUUUCUUGAAACAGAAGCAGUUGAGCAGGCUCUUCUUUUGAAUGAAUCCGAACUUCAUGGUCGGCAACUGAAGGUAUCAGCCAAGAGGACCAACAUCCCCGGGAUGAAGCAAUUCCGCCCUCGACGUUCUACUCCCUUCAUGGGUUACCGGCCCAGGGCUCCAUACAUGCCUACUCCUUACUUAUAUCCCCCUUAUGGAUAUGGGAAAGUCCCCAGGUUCAGGGCAUCAAUGCGAUACAGCCCAUACUUCUGAGCCUCAAUUUUAGGAAAUCAUGUACAUGAAAGAGUGCUCUCACCUCAGCCUGCCAACACAACUCAAGAUCGUGAAGGAAUCAACAUACUGAUUACCAGUAUCCAUAAUUUACAAAGUAGAAUGUCCGAACAAAACACUACACAUACACUAGCAUCUUGAGAUACCCAUUUUUUCACUUUGAUAUCAUUAAUUAUAAUUGAUAACGUACUUAUUCUGUACAGACCACUACAAAGUACAACUCAAAUGGUGGUCAAAAUAUCGAUAUUUAGGCUCAUAACUACAUAUUAGCUUGGAGUUAUGUACAAGGCCAAUAAAUGCAGGCCAGCACGAAAAAGAGGUCUCCAAGUAACUUGAAAGAGUUGCCACCCCCAUCAUACUCUAUUAUCAAAGAUUGUCUUUUUCAGUUAUUCAAUGCUAACACGCACUAAGCAUGCAUAACUUCGCGGCCCUUUCCAUUUAAUCACCAAUCAACAUCCCACCACCAUCCACCAUGCCCAUGCCAAUGCAAAUGCAUCACAACCACCCAUUUCUACUU